UAAGGGUUGGGUGCCAAACUGUUUUUUUAUGUUUACACUUUUCUAAUAUUUUUCAGCAAAUCAUUAGCAAUGUCUGCCACCCAAAGUUUCGUUGUCGCCGCUGUCAUGGCAGCUCUCUUCAUGGAAGGUGUCCUUGCUAGAGGGGGCCUAAUCGGGGGGAAGAAGAAGUAAUAUAAACAAGUGCAUAAAGGAGGACGAUGAAAAAGAAGAAGUGACUACUCCAAAGCUUAUGAUGUACAUCAUUCUAUAAGAGAUUAUUAAACUAAAUAAAAAAAAAAUCCUUGAAUGUUAAUUGAAACCUUAGAGAACCUUAGUUGUUAAAUACUAUAAAAACA